rnacentral:misc_RNA from 1 species
UUUAGAAAUAGACACUUAUAAUAUUAUUAAAUUAAAUUAUUAAUAAAUUUAAUUAAAAAAAAUAAUAUAUAAAGCAUUAUAAUAGGAGUGAGAGAAUUUUUUUUAAUUAAAUUUAAUUUAUUAUAAAUAUAAAAUAUAAAAUAUAUAAUAUAAUUUAUCUAUUAAAUAUGAGCCUCAGCUCAUGAUAUAUUGGGUCUAAAAAUAGACAGUUAUUAUAUCUCGGGGAAACAAAAAAUUUAAUUGAUUCAUAUUUUUGGCAAGAAAACUUAAUGGAAUUUUGAUUAGCCUAAAAAGUCAGAUUUUGCGGACAAACCUUUCAACCAUUCUUUUGAGUUGAAUAGUAGGGCUUUGCAAGUUUAUGAGCAGCUGAGUUGGGUGAAAGUGCCAACCCCACCAACCGUAGAUAAUGGAUAUACGUCAAAUUUUUUUUUUUUUGAG